UCGAGAAUCUUCGGCAAUGGACGAAAGUCUGACCGAGCGACGCCGCGUGCGGGAUGAAGGUCUUCGGAUUGUAAACCGCUGUCAGAGGGGAUGAAGUAUACGAGAGCUAUCUCUUGUAUUUGACAGAGCCUCAGAGGAAGCACGGGCUAAGUUCGUGCCAGCAGCCGCGGUAAUACGAACUGUGCGAACGUUAUUCGGAAUCACUGGGCUUAAAGGGUGCGUAGGUGGUUUUCUAAGUCACGUGUGAAAUCUUCUGGCUCAACCAGAAAACUGCGCGUGAUACUGGAGGACUUGAGUGAGGUAGGGGUGUGUGGAACUUCCGGUGGAGCGGUGAAAUGUGUAGAGAUCGGAAGGAACGCCAGCAGCGAAAGCGGCACACUGGGCCUUUUCUGACACUGAGGCACGAAAGCUAGGGGAGUGAACG
rnacentral:rRNA from 1 species